rnacentral:rRNA from 1 species
UACGAAGGGAGCUAGCGUUGUUCGGAAUCACUGGGCGUAAAGCGCACGUAGGCGGAUUUGUAAGUCAGGGGUGAAAUCCCGGGGCUCAACCUCGGAACUGCCUUUGAUACUGCAAAUCUCGAGUCCGGAAGAGGUGGGUGGAAUUCCUAGUGUAGAGGUGAAAUUCGUAGAUAUUCGCAAGAACACCAGUGGCGAAGGCGGCUCACUGGCCCGGUACUGACGCUGAGGUGCGAAAGCGUGGGGAGCAAACAGG